UGUUUAGAAUAGGAAAGAAGCCGACAGAAGUGCGCCACCUAGAAGACACCACCUAGAAGACACCACCUGCAAACAAAUACAAUGGGCCAAAUCUACUGCUAAAAUAUAUAAAAGAUUUCACCUAGUCCAUAUACUGUAGCUGUGGAUGAACAGAGCUCUCCAUAUUAUGCUUUACGAGAUCGCCAAGGUAAUGCCAUCGUGGUCGCUGCCUGUGAUAUUGAUUUAAGUACCUGAAUUGACCUACCAUGUGGGGGGGUCUUCAAAGCCGCAAAAAGAGCUGAAGUCACGAAAAGACCCGAAGUUGAAGUCCUGAAGCCUUGAAAGGACCCAAAGCCAGGAAAGGAAGCGGCUGGGAGGAUUAUCUGCAAAGCUUCUGGAUAAUUUUUGGAGCAGCUGGAUUAUCUUCAAAACAAUUGGGAGGAUUAUCUUCAGAGAUGCAGGGAGGAUUAUUUUCCGAGCGGAUGGAAAAAUUGUAUUCAGAAGGACUAAAAUGAUUCUCUGCAGAGCGUCUGGGAGGAGUGGUUGGAUUAUCUUCAGAAUGGUUGGAUUAUCUUCAGAGCGGCUAGGAGCAUUACUUUAAGAACAGCUGGAUUACCUUCAGAGCAGCUGGAUUAUCUUCAAUGGAUUAUCUGCAGAAAGAGCGCCACUCCCAACAUGCUGUUUUGACUGUAGAGGAAUAUGCAAAUAAGAAGCUGAAGAAAAGAGAAGGAUAUAGCAGAAGGGAU